AACGAACGCUGGCGGCAGGCUUAACACAUGCAAGUCGAGCGCCCCGCAAGGGGAGCGGCAGACGGGUGAGUAACGCGUGGGAAUCUACCCAUCUCUACGGAAUAACGCAUGGAAACGUGUGCUAAUACCGUAUACGUCCUUCGGGAGAAAGAUUUAUCGGAGAUGGAUGAGCCCGCGUUGGAUUAGCUAGUUGGUGGGGUAAAGGCCUACCAAGGCGACGAUCCAUAGCUGGUCUGAGAGGAUGAUCAGCCACACUGGGACUGAGACACGGCCCAGACUCCUACGGGAGGCAGCAGUGGGGAAUCUUGGACAAUGGGCGCAAGCCUGAUCCAGCCAUGCCGCGUGAGUGAAGAAGGCCUUAGGGUUGUAAAACUCUUUCGCCGGAGAAGAUAAUGACGGUAUCCGGAGAAGAAGCCCCGGCUAACUACGUGCCAGCAGCCGCCGUAAAAC
rnacentral:rRNA from 1 species